CAGACUUCUAUUGCAAUCUAACUGCUAGAAGCAGAGCCCAUCCUCCUUACAACCAUAGAUCAAAACAUGUUUGCUUAAGUUUUUAGCUGUCUCUAUGGCUGCAAGCUCAAAACAGCUUUGGCAAAUUCCAAAGCUUAGUCAAAGUAAAUUGUUACUUCUCUGAGAAAGAAGAGGAAAACUAAUGUGGGAAAUGAAGAGGAAAAAAGCAUGCAUGGAAUGAAAAGGAAAAUGCAUCUAAAAAGAGAAGAGAAGGAGCGAUGCAUAAAGUGGAAUGCUGUGCAGGAAAUCUCUGAUCUUUGGCUGCUCCACGGAACUGUGCAGCUGCACUUUUGUCCUCACUGCCUAGAACCCUGCCUCUGAGGAAAAUCAAAUCAGAGAUGCUAAGGAGUAAGUAGAUUACUGGACUGGCUUUAUGAUGUUUACUGAAGAUUAUAAAAAGAUUAUAUAAGGCAUACCCUUAUUUUCUUCAAUUUCAUCUUGACCCAGUAAAUCAUUUUAUGUACAGUUGUCUUGGAUUCUCACCAAAGAACAAGUACUUUUAAAUGGAAAUUUUUAUUUUCUACUUCACAGAGACAUCUUCCUUUGAGAGUAAGAAAUGACUAGCAUAAAAGUACGCUUUUACUUACAAAGAAAAAAGUAGUUAAGAUUUCACUCAAUUUCCUAUGCAAUCAUCAUUUUUAAUAUAACAUUAAAUUCAUUAUUCUUUUGAAGGUGUUCUG
rnacentral:lncRNA from 1 species